CUUCGCCUGUGCUGCUGGGGUACCUCUUCCAGCUUAGUUCCAUCUGAAAGGAAUCUGGUCUGUGCUUGGAGACUGCACAGUAUGUGGGGCAUUCUGGCUUCAGAAGCACGCUGCUACUCCAGACUUGAGCACUGAUGUAAUGGGAAGGGGCAGAGGGAAUACUCAGAAUGUACUAUUUCAUGUUACAGGUGCUGACAGCAUGUGGAGCUGAGAGCAGUGAAAGUCCAAAGGACUGGGGCACCAGAGGAGGUCACCAGGAGCUGUCAUGACUGCAGGACAUAUAUAAGCCCUGCAGGAAAGAGAAAGGGAGAAUGAUUCAUUGGUUGAUGCAAGCCUCUGUAGAAGUACUGAUCUAGUUGGAUCGGUAACUAACUUGGAUGGAUUUGCAACCAGCAGCUCAGCAGCUGAUUCAUGAACCGUCCUUCCAGGAGGGAACAUCACAAAGAUGGGAGUAGACUGAAUCAAGCCUCUGUCAAGAACCACUUCUGCAAUACUGAAUUAACAUACCUAAGAUCAGCACAUCAGGAAGAUAGCCUUCUACCAAGAAUAGUGUGGAGAUACACCUUGUUCACAGAAGCUCUGGAAACAUCAUGAGACUCAGACAGAUACAGUGCAUCCUCCGAUUGCGGAGAUGUUGCUGCUCUCUGAGCACUGCACACUCUGUGUUCAUGACUGAUGGAAAUAAUGCCCGGUUUUGGGGGAGCUUUGUGUUAUGGGAGACAGUAACAGCUGCUCUAAUAGGGUGGCUUAUCACUUUCUUGUGGAGACAGGUUCUAUCAUCUCAUUAAUGCAAGCCCUGCCCCUUCACCUAGAUUCCUUCCCAGGCAGCUACAGUGGAUCUGCUCACCAAGGGAAUUUGUCCCACUGGAUUCCAUUUUUUUCUGUGCAGUUGAAUGAAAAGUGUGUGUCUUUUGAAGAACAGCAACUGAAAGAAAUAUUGAUGACUGCCAGGGUAUCUACAGAAAAUGAUAUGAAAAUUACUCUACUACAACAGUGAAGAAAAAUGGGCUUUGUUAACUCUUUCUUGUAGGUUGUUUAUAUUAAUAGGAACAAGUAAAGUUUUGUAUUUUUUCAGAGAAAUACACAAGGCCUUGAAUUGUAUUGUUUUAAUUGCAGCUAACUGAAUGAAUUAAGUGGAAAAACGCGCACAGUACUUUGAUUGUCUAAUUCUCUGUAUGUGAGGCUUUGGGAACAAUUUGUUACUAUAAAAGAACAGCAGUAACCAGAAAUCAGCCGACAUGUAAUUGCUAGGCAGAGGGGCAGUUUGGGGAAAGCUGAUACUUAUUUAUAAAUUAUUAAAUAAAAGCACAUAAUAUGAGGAUCA
rnacentral:lncRNA from 1 species